UACGUAGGGGGCAAGCGUUGUCCGGAAUCAUUGGGCGUAAAGAGCGCGUAGGCGGCCCAGUCAGUCCGCUCUGAAAGUCAGGGGCUCAACCCCUGAAUGCGGGUGGAUACUGCUGGGCUAGAGUCCGGAAGAGGCGAGUGGAAUUCCUGGUGUAGCGGUGAAAUGCGCAGAUAUCAGGAGGAACACCGAUGGCGAAGGCAGCUCGCUGGGACGGUACUGACGCUGAGGCACGAAGGCCAGGGGAGCAAACGGG
rnacentral:rRNA from 1 species